UCCGCUGCGUAGGCCCUGGAGCCAUGGAGCUGCAGCUGAUGGGAGCUGCUCUGCUCUUUUCAGCUCUGCUUUGUUUGCGGCAAUCUGGGGGCCAGCAUCACCUGCGCAGAUCCAGGCUGUGACCGCAGCUUCCAUUUCCCCUGUGCCUUGGAGGGUGAAUGCAUCACCCAGUACUUUGGAGAGUUCAGGUCCUUUUGCUGGGAGCACUGCCCACAUCAGGCAGUGGAGGCAGCACCAAUGCAGGACGCAACCUGCAUCAUCUGCAUGGAACCCGUGGGUGACAGCAGGUCAUACAGCACCAUUGCGUGCCGAGCCUGCAAACAAGCCUGGUUCCACCGGGUCUGCAUCCAGGAACAGGCCUUGCACUCAGGGAUUUAUCGCUUCCAAU